AUUGAACGCUGGCGGCAGGCUUAACACAUGCAAGUCGAGCGGGGGAAGGUAGCUUGCUACUGGACCUAGCGGCGGACGGGUGAGUAAUGCUUAGGAAUCUGCCUAUUAGUGGGGGACAACAUCUCGAAAGGGAUGCUAAUACCGCAUACGUCCUACGGGAGAAAGCAGGGGAUCUUCGGACCUUGCGCUAAUAGAUGAGCCUAAGUUGGAUUAGCUCGUUGGUGGGGUAAAGGCCUACCAAGGCGACGAUCUGUAGCGGGUCUGAGAGGAUGAUCCGACACGCUGGGACUGAGACACUGCCCAGACUGCGACGGGAGGCAGCAGUUGGGAAUAUUGGGCAAUGGGGGGAACCCUGAUCCAGCCAUUCCGCGUGUGUGAAGAAGGCCUUAUGGUUGUAAAGCACUUUUAGCGAGGAGGAGGCUACUUUAGUUAAUACCUAGAGAUAGUGGACGUUACUCGCAGAAUAAGCACCGGCUAACUCUGUGCCAGCAGCCGCGGUAA
rnacentral:rRNA from 1 species